ACCUCCAAUUUUUCUACCAAGUCUAUAUUUGUUGUUGGCUAUUCGAAUAUCCAUUUCCUCUGAAAUAUUUUAUGGUUAUUAGUACAUUGUUAAGAACUUGAUAAGGGCAUAUGCACCCCGUCAGCACAAAAGCAGCCUAUAAUGAUUUUUCUAGAAAUUGAGUCUGGAUUGCAUUUGUAUUCCUCAAAGAAUAAUAAUUUGAAGGAGCCACAAAUUGCACUUAAAUGAUCUAAAAUUAGCAUCACAAUGAAAGAAUUAUAUAUGGAAAAAUUAUAUGGUUAAAAGAGGCCGUAUGGGGCCCAAACUAAGCAUCAUAAAUUGAAUAAAGUAUAGUUAUCAUUCUUAAGUAUCCCUAAUCACCCCAAAAAUUUGAACCCAAAGUCUAUAAUUGAUAGAAUUUGCUGUGUCCUUAAACCUGUUUCUACCUUUAUACUUUAUAUUAUUUAUACUUCAUAUUAAUAUAUCUUAUAUUCCCGUUAA
rnacentral:lncRNA from 1 species